GACGAACGCUGGCGGCGUGCUUAACACAUGCAAGUCGAACGGAAAGGCCCUGCUUUUGUGGGGUGCUCGAGUGGCGAACGGGUGAGUAACACGUGAGUAACCUGCCCUUGACUUUGGGAUAACUUCAGGAAACUGGGGCUAAUACCGGAUAGGAGCUCCUGCUGCAUGGUGGGGGUUGGAAAGUUUCGGCGGUUGGGGAUGGACUCGCGGCUUAUCAGCUUGUUGGUGGGGUAGUGGCUUACCAAGGCUUUGACGGGUAGCCGGCCUGAGAGGGUGACCGGCCACAUUGGGACUGAGAUACGGCCCAGACUCCUACGGGAGGCAGCAGGGGGGAAUAUUGCACAAUGGGCGGAAGCCUGAUGCAGCAACGCCGCGUGCGGGAUGACGGCCUUCGGGUUGUAAACCGCUUUCGCCUAUGACGAAGCGUGAGUGACGGUAAUGGGUAAAGAAGCACCGGCUAACUACGUG
rnacentral:rRNA from 1 species